AAUCAGGUGUUCAGUUGGUAGAGGAUGAGACUCUCAAUCUCAAGGUCACGGGUUCAAGUCCCAAGUUGGGUG
rnacentral:tRNA from 1 species